CUGGAAUCUGAAUCGUCCCGAAAGCUCCGACGAGAAAAAAAACGAGGCCGAGGCCUGGAGAGAAGAAAAAAUGUCGGUUCGCGCAUUUCUCCAGAAACUUGGACCGCUGAAUGAUGGUCGUGAAUCUGCAUCCGAGACGAGCAGUCUCGAAAAGUUCUCGAACUGGAAAACGUCCAGGUUCCUUCUGGUUGGCCGAGCGAGCCGUGCCAAUCGGUUCAAUAUGGCUCGACUUGUUUUCCUAAAGACCUAAAGUUCGGCGUCGAAGUAGGAUGUCGCGUGCAGGGCCCCGGGGGAGUCUGGAGCCUAUCCGAAGGAACUCGGGACACAAGAACUCGGGUUCCAACCCAUCACAUGGCACAUUCACACAAUACGGACAAUUUUGAAAUGCCAAUCAGCCUACAACGCAUGUCUUUGGACUCAGGGAGGAAACUGGAGUACCCGGAGGGAACCCCUGAAGCACUGGGAGAACACGCAUACUCUGCACACACAGGGCGGAGGCGGGAUUCAAACCUCCAAACCUCGGAGGCGCGAGGCAAACAUGCUAACCACUAAGCCAGUUGGUCGUAGACAUAAUUAGGCUCAAGUCUCCAUAGCUGCUUUGUGACGUUGUCUAUUGUUAAAAGCAUCACACACACACACACACACACACACACACACAAAUGAAAUUCAAAACCCCUUAUUAUAUCAUGUACUUGUUUUGUUAGUGAUGGGAUGAUUGCAGGAUGUGGAGAGUCACCGCACAGGGUGGAAGCUUAUCGUAAAUGCGUAUUAUUCGUUUAAAAUGUUUAAAAAAAAUUGUGCACAGCCCAAACUGUCAAUACGAUGAGGCUCACUGUGCGAUCAAUUGACCAAUAAGAAUAAUAGUUUAGAGACUACAGAGAAUUGUUAACACUGAUUUCUUCCACCCAGUCCUGUUCUGGUGUCCUGUCUAGUCAGCAUGCACAGUUGUAUAUUUUGAACACUGGUGUGUGUUUGUGUGUGUGUAAUCCUGUGCUGCAUUACGUACUACUGUAUCGUGUGUGGCGCCUGUGUUAAAUUCCCGAAGAAACAACAUUUUGUUCCACUGUGUACAGGUUCUCCGAGGCGGAAUGGCAGAAAAUAAGGGGAAAUGUACGGGAGAUAUCAUUAUAGCUCAGGCUAGUAGGGGUGUCAUGAAAAGACACUCUUAGUAUCUGUUUAGUGCUCUGUAUCUGUAUUUGAAUUUAACACGUUAACGAGAAGGCCCACCAAAACCCUGGAAAAAACGGGAUUCCGGCUCUGACAAUUCGUCAACCUCAGCUACGUCGCUCGAGUUCAUAAUCGGUCUCGCGGUUGUUCUUUUGGUUCGUACUUGCUUGCAAUAUUUUCAAACUUUUUUCUCAAAACAAACUAGUAGCCUAAAUGAACCAACACAGCCCAGACUAAGUGGUUACCUCACGUCGACGUUAACAAACGUGGUCUGUCUUUGCCGCAAGAGCAUCAUAUCUGACCACGGUAAAUACCGUGGUGAGAAAGAAGAGCGUCUGUAUGGAAACUGUAUGGCUAUAAACAACGUAACUUCUACUAGAAACUUCUGCUUCAUAAUGUACGUUUAUAGGCGAGAUCUGUUAUUCUGAUCUGACCUAUUCUCGUUUCGCAGCGCUACAUUGUUCCGCACUGUUUCUAAUUAAAGCUCUGCCGUGAAGGUUUGCCCGCUGCACCACACCCUCCGGCAGCCACCGUCUAAAAUCAGAUUAGCAAGCGGUGUCCCAACAGACACAUGAUUUAUCUCGUGUACACUUAUCUCCCUGUAAGUGAAGGAAAUCCACAGUAAAGGAGAAUAAAACCACACCACAGUCACGCCACCAGCCUGAGAGAAAUGAAACGCCGCUUUUACAGCUUUUACUGAAAAUAAAAGAAAAA
ensembl:lncRNA